rnacentral:rRNA from 1 species
GACGAACGCUGGCGGCGUGCUUAACACAUGCAAGUCGAGCGAUGAAAGCCUUAUGAACUAUUCGUAGUGAUUGGGGCCGGAUUAGCGGCGGACGGGUGAGUAACGCGUGAGCAACCUGCCUUAAACAACGGGAUAGCCUCGGGAAACCGGGAUUAAUACCGUAUGAGACCCCGCCUUCACAUGAAGAAGAGGUUAAAGAUUUAUCGGUUUAAGAUGGGCUCGCGUCUGAUUAGCUAGUUGGUGAGAUAAAAGCCCACCAAGGCAACGAUCAGUAACCGGCUUGAGAGAGUGAACGGUCACAUUGGAACUGAGACACGGUCCAAACUCCUACGGGAGGCAGCAGUGGGGAAUAUUGCACAAUGGGGGAAACCCUGAUGCAGCGACGCCGCGUGAGCGAUGAAGGAAUUCGUUUCGUAAAGCUCUGUCCAAGGGGAAGAUAAUGACAGUACCCUUGGAGGAAGCCCCGGCUAAAUACGUGCCAGCCGCCGCAGUAAAAC